GACGAACGCUGGCGGCGUGCCUAAUACAUGCAAGUCGAACGCAGUGGGGACGGGUGAGUAACACGUGGGUAACCUCCCCAUCAGAGGGGAUAACACUUGGAAACAGGUGCUAAACCGAUAUUGAUGGAUGGACCCGCGGUGCAUUAGCUAGUUGGUGAGGUAACGGCUCACCAAGGCCACGAUGCAUAGCGGACCUGGGAGGGUGGUCGGCCAAACGGGAACGGGGAAACGGCCAGGACCCCUACGGGAGGCAGCAGGAGGAAAUCUGCGGAAAGGGAGAAAAGCCUGACCGAGCAACUCGGCGGGAUGAAGAAGGGUUUCGGGUUCGAAAAACUCGGUUGUAAGGAAAGCGGUAUCUAACCAGAAAGCCACGGCUAACUACGUGCCAGCAGCCGCGGUAAUUC
rnacentral:rRNA from 1 species